rnacentral:rRNA from 1 species
AUUGAACGCUGGCGGCAGGCCUAACACAUGCAAGUCGAACGAGUGGCGGACGGGUGAGUAAUGUCUGGGACACUGCCCGAUGGAGGGGGAUAACUACUGGAAACGGUAGCUAAUACCGCAUACCAUCGGAUGUGCCCAGAGGGGAUUGGCUAGUGGGUGGGGUAACGGCUCACCUAGGCGACGAUCCCUAGCUGGUCUGAGAGGAUGACCGGCCACACGGGAACUGAGACACGGUCCAGACUCCUACGGGAGGCAGAAGUGGGGAAUAUUGCACAAUGGGCGCAAGCCUGAUGCAGCCAGGCCGCGGGUAUGAAGAAGGCCUUCGGGUGGUAAAGUACUUUCAGCGAGGAGGCGUUACUCGCAGAAGAAGCACCGGCUAACUCCGUGCCAGCAGCCGCGGUAAUAC